UACGUAGGGUGCAAGCGUUGUUCGGAAUCACUGGGCGUAAAGCGCACGUAGGCGGAUCUUUAAGUCAGGGGUGAAAUCCCGAGGCUCAACCUCGGAACUGCCUUUGAUACUGGGGAUCGUCGAGUCCGGGAGAGGUGAGUGGAACUGCGAGUGUAGAGGUGAAAUUCGUAGAUAUUCGCAAGAACACCAGUGGCGAAGGCGGCUCGAC
rnacentral:rRNA from 1 species